rnacentral:tRNA from 1 species
UCCAUUGCUCAGUUGGUAAAGCACAAAGCUCUUAACCUUGUGGACGUGGGUUCCAGCCCUACGAUGGAA